rnacentral:pre_miRNA from 13 species
UGAGCUGUUGAAUUCGGGGCCGUAACACUGUCUGAGAGGUUUACAUUUCUCACAGUGAACCGGUCUCUUUUUCAGCUGCUUC